rnacentral:rRNA from 1 species
AUUUUUAAUCUUAACACCCACAAACCCAAAAACUAAAGGUUAUUUACCCUAAAUUUAAAGGAUUUGGCGGUGAUUUAGUCCAGUUAGAGGAACCUGUUCGAUAAACGAUAAUCCUCGCAGGAUCUUUCCUUCUCCAAAAGCCUGUAUACCGUCAUUAUUAGAUAACUCCCAUAGGAAAAGUUAUUUCAAUAAAUAAUUUAUUAUUUAGUAUAUUAGAUCAAGGUGCAGCCCAUGAGCAGGUCAGAAUGGGUUACAAUAAAACUUACUUAAAACGGAGUAAAGAUUGAAAUAUCUUUAUAAAGGAGGAUUUAAUAGUAAAGUAAAUUUAACAAGUUUAUUUGAUAAAGGAUCUAAAUUGAGUACAUAUCGCCCGUCGCUUUCGUCUACAAACGAAAUAAGUCGUAACAUAG